rnacentral:rRNA from 1 species
GGAACGAAAGCAUGGGUAGCGAAGAGGAUUAGAUACCCUCGUAGUCCAUGCCGUAAACGAUGUGUGUUAGACGUUGGAAAUUUAUUUUCAGUGUCGCAGGGAAACCGAUAAACACACCGCCUGGGGAGUACGACCGCAAGGUUAAAACUCAAAUGAAUUGACGGGGACCCGCACAAGUAGUGGAGCAUGUGGUUUAAUUCGAAGAUACGCGCAGAACCUUACCAACACUUGACAUGUUCGUCGCGACUCUAAGAGAUUAGAGUUUUCGGUUCGGCCGGACGAAACACAGGUGCUGCAUGGCUGUCGUCAGCUCGUGUCGUGAGAUGUUGGGUUAAGUCCCGCAACGAGCGCAACCCUCACUUUUAGUUGCCAUCAUUAAGUUGGGCACUCUGAAAGAACUGCCAGUGAUAAGCUGGAGGAAGGUGGGGAUGACGUCAAGUCCUCAUGGCCCUUACGUGUUGGGCUACACACGUGCUACAAUGGCAUCUACAACAGGAAGCAAAACGGCAACGUUAAGCAAAUCCCGAAAAGAUGCCUCAGUUCGGAUUGCACUCUGCAACUCGAGUGCAUGAAGCUGGAAUUACUAGUAAUCGUGGAUCAGCGUGCCACGGUGAAUGCGUUCCCGGGUCUUGUACACACCGCCCGUCACACCAUGGGAGUUGGUUCUACCUUAAGGCAAGGUUUUAAACCCUUGACCACGGUAUAGUCAGCGACUGGGGUGAAGUCGUAACAAGGUAACCGUAAAUCACUAGUGAAUUCGCGGCCGCCUGCAGGUCGAC